rnacentral:rRNA from 1 species
AUUGAACGCUGGCGGCAGGCUUAACACAUGCAAGUCGAGCGGGGUGAUGGUGCUUGCACUAUCACUUAGCGGCGGACGGGUGAGUAAUGCUUAGGAAUCUGCCUAUUAGUGGGGGACAACAUCUCGAAAGGGAUGCUAAUACCGCAUACGUCCUACGGGAGAAAGCAGGGGAUCACUUGUGACCUUGCGCUAAUAGAUGAGCCUAAGGCGGAUUAGCUAGUUGGUGGGGUAAAGGCCUACCAAGGCGACGAUCUGUAGCGGGUCGGAGGGGAUGAUCCGACACACUGGGACUGGGACACGGCCCAGACUCCGACGGGAGGCAGCAGUGGGGAAUAUUGGGCAAUGGGGGGAACCCUGAUCCAGCCAUGCCGCGUGUGUGAAGAAGGCCCUAUGGUUGUAAAGCACUUUAAGCGAGGAGGAGGCUCUUUUGGUUAAUACCCAAGAUGAGUGGACGUUACUCGCAGAAUAAGCACCGGCUAACUCUGUGCCAGCCGCCGCGGUAA